GAGUUUGAUCCUGGCUCAGAGUGAACGCUGGCGGUAGGCCUAACACAUGCAAGUCGAACGGCAGCACAGUAAGAGCUUGCUCUUACGGGUGGCGAGCGGCGGACGGGUGAGGAAUACAUCGGAAUCUACUUUUUCGUGGGGAUAACGUAGGGAAACUUACGCUAAUACCGCAUACGACCUACGGUGAAAGCAGGGGAUCUUCGGACCUUGCGCGAUUGAAUGAGCCGAUGUCGGAUUAGCUAGUUGGCGGGGUAAAGGCCCACCAAGGCGACGAUCCGUAGCUGGUCUGAGAGGAUGAUCAGCCACACUGGAACUGAGACACGGUCCAGACUCCUACGGGAGGCAGCAGUGGGGAAUAUUGGACAAUGGCGCAAGCCUGAUCCAGCCAUACCGCGUGGUG
rnacentral:rRNA from 1 species